GUAGUACUCCCUUUAUCCGGAAAUACUUGUAAUUGAAAUGAAUAAAAAGGAUGUAUCUAGACGUAUUUUAAUUCUAAAUACAUCUUUUUUUAUCCAUUUUGAUGACAAGUAUUUUUGGACGGAGGGAGUAUAUA
rfam:Triticum aestivum genome assembly, contig: Triticum_aestivum_CS42_TGACv1_scaffold_211513_3AS